GUCAUCAGCCCUCUGUAAGUGCCUCAGUGAAGCUUCAUAAAUAGAUUAGUAAACAAGGAAAAAUUGGGAAAAAAUCCUGUUAUAUCCAUACAGUCCCGUUUAAUGUUACCGUAGUGCGAGCAUGCAAAGAGGCACCAGCGACAGUCACUCUAAAAGAAAAGUAGCCUUAAACUUCAAUCUCCUGAAAUUAAUUAGUAUAAAUUAAAACGAAGUGAAGGCGAAAGGUCGCUGGGGUUGCACUGCCACCUGCUGGGGACGGCAUGGGGACGGCAUGGCGAGAGGCACUUUUCCUAGAAAAUAGCACGGAAAUGGGUGCGUGCAUUUUCCUGCUCCGUGCGAAGCUGUUCGCUGCACGUGUGUCGUACAGCAGAAAUUCCGUCUUUAUCCUUUCCAAGAACAGCAACAAAUACCAUGACCAGUAAGAACUAACUUUGGCCUAGUCUUCUCAUCUAGUACCACACAGCAUUGUGGCAGAGCAGUGCUCUAUAACAAGAAGCGCUGAGCUUAUUGCACAAAGACUCAGAGUCAUAGAAUGGUUUGGAUUGGAAGAGACCUUAAUGAUCACCUACUCCAGCCCUCCUGGCACGGGCAGGGUCACCUCCCACUAGAAAUUUAUUUUAUUCAUGCCUACCAUCACUUGUCCUGCAUCUGAAUCAAGUUCAGUGCCAAAUAUUUGAUAUGUCCCCUGCGAGAUCUGCUGCAUGCAGCUUGGUGUGAUGCAAAUGCUGAACAAGCCUUGAAGACUAAGCAAUCCAACAAGAAAAUAUUAUUGGUCAUGAGGCAGCGCUUGAUCACCAACAAAUCACAUUAACAGAUUGUACUGUUAAAUGGAAGCCUGCAUGGUGAUGCCUGUUAAUCACUGUCAUCUACAAGCUUGAAUUUAUGGAAUGUAUGUCUCUAAUGCAACUUUUGAAACACGAGGAUAGUCUGAACAAAUGAGGAGGUGCAAAGCAAACAAACUAAUCCAGAGCUACCACAAGGUGGGGUUAGGUCAUUUACGAUCUGACCAGUCCACAAGGACUGAAGUGCUCCAGAGCUGCCCUGGUCCCCAGCUGCCAGAGUCCACCUGGCAGCUAAACAAGCAGUGGGCUCCUCCUCUCCUGGAGACAAACCCGGUCCUCAGGCUCACUCCCCAGCUAAGACAUCUGUAUCCUGAAAAUAGGCUGAAGAUUUCUUAUUAUGUUGUUUCUCUGGCUGUUUGUGUAAGUAAAUCUUGUAGUCAGGCAAUGCAUGAACAGUUUGGCACAUAUAAUUUUCUCAAUGUAUUCAGAUGUAGUGCCCUGAAUACUAAGCAUUGUGCUCUCAUCAGUGGAAAUGCCUGAUUGUGAAUGUUGUGUUGCUUUUUUUUUUUUUUUUCUCUUGGCAGUUGGGGUUAUAUGUAAAUUUUGCACUUAUGUGUACAUUUCAAAUA